CUUUUCCAGCGUAGAGGUAAGUAUAAUAACUCAGUGUGUAGCCCUUUGAGUCUGGCACAUGAGAUCUUCCCAAUCCACUGUGUGUGUCAGCAGUUUGUCCCUCUUUGCCACCAAAUGGCCUUCCAUGUGUGGAUCCAUCAGUCAACCACUCACCUAGUUGAAAGACAUGAACAGUAUUUCCAGGCUUUAGAUUAUAAAUUAAUUUUUCAUUAGAAAUUUGGAGCUUUUUGCUGGGUGUCCUUGUGAGAGUGACAUCGCCUUUAAACCCUGCGUGGCAAUCCCUGAUGCACCGCCGUGAUGCCCAGGGAAGACAGGGUGACCUGGAAGUCCAGCUACUUCCUUAAGAUCUUCCAACUUUUGGAUGAUUAUCCAAAAUGCUUCAUUGUGGGAGCAGACAACGUGGGCUCCAAGCAGAUGCAGCAGAUCCAGAUGUCCCUCCGAGGGAAUGCUGUGGUGCUGAUGGGCAAGAACACCAUGAUGUGCAAGGCUAUCUGCAGGGACCUGGAAAGCAACCCAGCUGUGGAGAAACUGUUGCCUCAGAUCUGGGGGAAUGUGGGCUUUGUGUUCACCAAGGAGGACCUCACUGAGAUCAGGGACAUGGCUGCUGGCCAAUGAGGUGCCAGCAUCUGCUGUGCUGGUGCCAUUGCUCCAUGUGAAGUCACAGUGUCAGCCCAGAACACUGGUCUGGGAUCCGAGAAGACCCUUUCUUCCAGGCUUUAGGCAGCACCACCAAAAUCUCCAGAGGCACCAUUGAAAUCCUGAGUGAAGUGCAGCCGAUAAAGAUUGGAGACAAAGUGGGAGCCAGCCAAGCCACGCUGCUGAACAUGGUGAACAUCUCCUCCUUCUUCUUCGGGCUGAUCAUCCAGCAGGUGUUUGACAGUGGCAGCAUCUACAACCCUGAAGGGCUUGACAUCACAGAGGAAGCUCUGCACUCCUGCUUCCUAAAGUGUUUCGGCAAUGUUGCUAGUGUUUGUCUGCAAAUUGGCUACCCAACUGUUGCUUCAGUACCUCAUUCUAUUAUCAAUGGGUAUAAGUGGGUCCUGGCUUUGUCUGUGGAGACUGACUACACUUUCCCACUUGCUGAAAAGGCCAAGGCCUUCUUGGCUGAUCCAUCUGCAUUUGUGGCUGCUGCCCCUGUAGCUGCCGCCACCACUGCUGGUCCUGAUGCUGCUGCGGCCCCAGCCAAGGUUGAGGCCAAGGAGGAGUCGGAAGAGUUGGACAGGGAUAUGGGAUUUGGUCUCUUUGACUAAUCACCAAAACAGCCAACUCAAUUUUAUUUGCAAAACAAGGAAAUAAAGGCUUACUUUC